CCAAACUUGGUCAUUUAGAGGAAGUAAAAGUCGUAACAAGGUUUCCGUAGGUGAACCUGCGGAAGGAUCAUUAACGAAUUGUAAGGACUUUGCUGUGCUGGCUCUCUUUAUGGGAGCAUGUGCACGCAGAGUUUAAACUUUUCACUUUAACCCCCUGUGCACUUUUGUGGAUUGUGAAUGGAUAACUCUUGUCAAAGUAACAUUUGGUUUUGGGGAUCGCGCACUUUUUGCUCUGCGCUUUCCUCUACAUCCGUUCACAAUUCAUGUCUUUAUUACAAACUAUAUAUUAAACCUAGAAUGCUUAACGAGUUGGGAACUUUUGUAACCCUUCUUAAAUCUUAUACAACUUUCAACAACGGAUCUCUUGGCUCUCGCAUCGAUGAAGAACGCAGC
rnacentral:misc_RNA from 1 species